UAGGGAAUCUUCCGCAAUGGACGAAAGUCUGACGGAGCAACGCCGCGUGAGUGAUGACGGUCUUCGGAUUGUAAAGCUCUGUUAAUCGGGACGAAUGGUUUGUGUGCAAAUAGUACAUAGACAUGACGGUACCGGAAUAGAAAGCCACGGCUAACUACGUGCCAGCAGCCGCGGUAAUACGUAGGUGGCAAGCGUUGUCCGGAUUUAUUGGGCGUAAAGCGAGGGCAGGCGGUCAAUUAAGUCUGAUGUGAAAGCCCCCGGCUCAACCGGGGAGAGUCAUUGGAAACUGGUUGACUUGAGUGCAGAAGAGGAGAGUGGAAUUCCAUGUGUAGCGGUGAAAUGCGUAGAUAUAUGGAGGAACACCAGUGGCGAAGGCGACUCUCUGGUCUGUAACUGACGCUGAGGCUCGAAAGCGUGGGUAGCAAACAGG
rnacentral:rRNA from 1 species